GUAAUUCUCUUUUAGCAGUCCUUUCACCUGCCUUUACCGUGACACCUGUUAUAACCUUUUUAUCUAUGGGAAACAACUGGCUAGAACUUCCUCCAUCCCCAUUCUUCCUUUUUCAGCAUCUAUUCCUUCUUCUCUGUUUAUCCUUUUCUGAUUUCUGUUAUUCCAUCCAAUAAAUCUCGAAUUCAUCAGUUUUUUUUUCAUGGUAUUUAUCUUUCAAAGUAUGAGUUCGCUAAUCUGCAAUGUUUCUUUGGUACUGCACCUUCUUCAGUUCUUUGUUGAUAAUCGGUAUAGGCCUCUUCAACUAGGAUGUUCUGCCCUAUCAUUUCUUCAAACCAGUUCAUGAGUCCUUCAAACCCUAAUAAUUUUUUAAAACGGUAUGGUUCUCUCCUUUAUUGUUUUUUCUUUUGCUUUUAUAUGCCCUGUUUUUGCUGUUCUUUCUAUGUACUUACAAACUCUUUAAAGAAAUCUUGGAAAUAUGGGUCCCCCAGAUGGCACUUGCUUCCGUACUUGCUCUAAUGAUAGCUUAUUUCAUUCAUUUAUUACCUUGUAAGUUCUGUCUGACAUUUUGGAUUUCUAUACAUUAUUAUCACCAUAUACAACUAUUGAAAAAAUGAUAGUAGUUUCAAUCCAGGAAAAAAUUUAAAAUUUACUAUAAAUUUUAAGUUUUGAGCUCUUUGUUUCGAUGAAUUUUUAGUGCAGUCUUUCUUUCGUUAUUGGACUUUUUUUGUGCGAAGUUCUUUAGAGAUACUCUUGCGCCCCUUGACUCCUUUCGUCCCGCUAAGCUGUCUGAAACUGGUUUAAAGGUAAUUUAUGAUCUGAAUAUUAAAUGAAAUGCUUGGAUUAGAUUUGGUCAAUUCUAAAUUCUAAUAAUUUAUAAGUUAAUUUAACAUACAUAUUUAUUAAAGUUAGAUCACUACUGUUUAUGAUAUAAGAUCCAACAUUUUAUGGAUAGCUAUAAAAAAUAAAUAUCUUAAACUGUUUGAACUCACUCAUGUUUUAGAAUGUCUGGUUUGGGUGCUCCUCUAAGUUGCAGUAAAUUUUGGACUGAAGAUGCACCAGAAAACAAUAAAAGGCCUGUAAGCUUCGGCAUUUGUUAUGUGCUUUUGUUCCUAUUUGUGACACCCUUCACCAUUUAUAUAUAGUAGAAAUUAUCAUGUUAUGAAGACGAAUUUAAUGUAAAUAAUGACAAUUUUAACAAUAUAUAAGAAUGUAGGUUGUUGAACUAAAUAUUGCUUUCUUGAAUUUGUAUAUGUAGUUUAAAAGAGGAAACUUUACAAAUGGCACACAAAUAUAGCUUUAAUGAACUAAUUUAUAGUUACCUACCUCAUCAUACCUCCGAAUUACUUAGAAAAAGCUUCCUAUGAUCCUUUUAUUGUGCAGAAAGCACAUACCUCUCACUUCUUUUUUAUUAGCUCUCACUUCUUUUUUAGUUAAUUGAUACACGUGCAUGAAAAAGUUAGCUUGCUUAAGGGAGUUCAGUAGAAUCUCUAAGUUCAGUAGGUUUUAUAUUUUUUGAUACAUUUGACUGUUGCAACUGUAAAACUGCAAAGUCAAGGGAGUAUUGCAAGUCUUGCCAUAUAGAAAGUUGACAUGAACAUCAGAAAAUAUGAUAAAGCAUAGCGUGAUGCUUUUCCUUUGUUUCGUUUUCCAAUAGAUGCCUGGUAUAUUUAUGUUUCUGGUCAAGUUUAUCGAGCGGGAAUCCCCAUAACAUGCAUUAGAGGACGUUGGAGUCCUACAUUUUACAAUAAUUCACCACUUGAUGUUAGGAAAUGAAUACAAUUAUAUCUACGGCUAUCAUAUGCAUGUAGUGUGUUUCAUCUUUAGUUUGUCGUACGCAAAUGGUUUGACAAGAUGAAUAAACUCUCUUCUUGAAGUGAAUCAUAUUAAUCAGAUCCAAAAAAGAUUGUGUCAUAAUAAAUGGAUGAAAUUUCUGCUGUAUUUAACUAAAAUAAUGUUUCACUACUGAUUUUAGGAUAACAUGGUGAUCAUGGACGCACUGAAUUUCUGCCAAGAAAAGUUUAACAGGCAUCCUAUCUUGCAAUUUAUAUUGGUGAUGGAAUGACGAGGUAUACCUUAAGAACGGUGGGAAGAUGGUUUAGGGGCCGGGGGCGAGGACGAGGACGGUGCUAGGGCUGGGUAUGGGAGUGGUUCGAGGAUUACUUUAGAAAUCCUUUCUUUUAAACUUCAGUUUAUUUUUAUUUUUGACAACAGAUAUUUCAUGUUAUUUGGGGAUGAAAGCUGAUGUUUGUAAACUUUAUUUUAUAAAAAAAUUGAACUGUUCUUUUGAAUUGGACGGAUCAUUUGAUUGAUGCUGCUGUUGUGAAUGUAAUUUUUAUCAAAUAUUUGCUUGUGUGGUUGGGAUGUUGGUUUAAUAAUUUGACUUUUGGUUAGUAAUCUUACUGUGAGAGAAAUAGAGGCUAAUUAGCCUCUUUGAAGUUCCUCCAUAGCACCCUUAAAGGACUUAAAAUGUCAAAUUUCUACUUCUUCCCUUUAUGAAUUUGUCAUUCCUAAGUAAUUACCUAAACAUGAAGAUGAGUUCCUUUAAAAUGUUUGAGAUUCAAGAUUGAAGAAUGUUGUAUUGGCUGAGAUGCUUGAAUAUAUGACCACGUUGGUUUUAGUUGAUCUUAGAAGAAUGGAUUUACAGAAUACUUGGUCUAUAUGGCCAAGCUGUAGAGUCAAAACUUUAUUCGUGAAACAAUGUUCAUUUGGAGGGCUUUGAGAAUUCAGAAUAAUUUGGAUGUGUCUUUCACUAUACUCUUUGAAGUAAAUUAAAUGUCUUGAUCCCAGUUUUGCUCUCUCAUGCAAUUGUGUCCCUGUUGUAAUAUUAAGAUGCAAUGAUUAAUGUUUACACUUUCCUUUUCUGACGUCCAUUAAUAUGCUCACCCAGCCUUUGGUGAGUUCCUUUGCUUAGGACAAUGCUAAUUACUAGUCAGAUGGUCGACUUGGGGCUACUGGUGUUCACUUAUGCAUGCACAGAAUAUCAUUCCUGUUAAUAAAUUUCUUGAGAAGAGCUAAGCUACAUGUAAGUAUGUGAGUUUUGCCUUUUAUGAGAUAAAAAUGUCUAUGUAGCCUUUAGCUUUUAUUUGUAUUGUAGGUUGCUGGUUGAAUCAACCAAAAUUUCGUUGUGACACACUCAUUUCUGGCUACUCAUUUUUCAAGGUUCCAUUUCAUUAUCAAACUCUGCUCAACAACAACAACCCAGUAUAAUCUCACUAGUGGGGUGUCUGGGGAGGAUAGUUUGUACGCAGACCUUACCCCUACCCUGGGUAGAGGGGCUGGCUGUUUCCGAUAGAUCUUCGGCUCCCUCUCUCCAAGAACUUCCCACCUUGCUCUUGGGGUGACUCGAACUCACAACCUCUUGGUUGGAAGUGGAGGGUGCUCACCACUAGAGUAACCAACUCUUGUCUAUAUUUUAAGUUAUUGAAUUUUAAAUUAAUAAAGUAUAUAUAUAUUCGAUGAAUUUCUUAUGAUAAAUUCAAGGGUUAUAGGAGCCUCCUUUUCUUGAAGAAGAGGUGCAUCUCCAUUUCCUUCCGCCUUAUUUCCAUUUCCCCCUUCGGCCUCUCCCGCUUCUUUUGAGAAUAUCCAUGUGAACUCCAUCUGACAUUAAGCUUUGAGAAUGUCUGAAUCUGAUUUGUUUCCAAAUACCUAAUAUCCAAAAACAGUGGAGUAGAAAAUUGAGUAAAUUUACAGAGUUUGUAACAUUUGAGGCCUUUCAGCUUCUUGCCUUUUUAUUAUGGUAUUGAACAUCAUCUAUGGCGUAGAUAACGACAACUUUGUGUUCAGUUCAAAUCUUUAUACUGC
rnacentral:lncRNA from 1 species